UUCUGCUUAAGCCGGUGCUAGGGGGCGUGGACGGUAACUUGCACUUUCCAGUACCGUCCAUGAACAGGCUCAAUCAAACCGAGCCUGCAACAUUUUCAAUUUUGUUGUGUUAGAAUUUCUUUAGGGAUUCUGUUUUUCUCUAUUUUAGAGAGACAAGAGUUUAGAGACCCGUAUCCGUCGAGCGCGGAAAAAAGGAGAGUUGCGGAUCAACAGAAACGACUUGAUUCGUCAAGUUUAAGGUCAUCUUCCCGUUCCAGGAGAUCCGCCCGUUCCAGGAGAUUCUCCCGUUCCAACAGAUCCAGGAGAGAAAGAAGAAUGCGGCCAGACCGGUCCAGGUCAACCUUACGAGGGCAACAUUCAAGAUCCAGAUCUUCGAGUUCUUCAACUGUCUGAAAAGGUAGCAGCCCUAACAGUGGACACUCACAACAAAGGUCACCCUCCCGUUCCAGGAGAUCCUCCCGUUCCAGGAGAUCUUCCCGUUCAAG